rfam:Hordeum vulgare subsp. vulgare, WGS project CAJW01000000 data, contig: morex_contig_1558044
UUAGUACUCCCUCCGUUCCAAAAUUCUUGUCUUAGGUGUGUCUAAAAAUAGAUGUAUCUAAAUACUAUAACAUGACUAAAUACAUUCGUAUUUAGACAAAUCUAAGACAAGAAAUUUGGAACGGAGGAAGUAGUUC